rnacentral:rRNA from 1 species
GACGAACGCUGGCGGCGUGCUUAACACAUGCAAGUCGAACGGAGCGAAUGAAAGCUUGCUUUUAUAAGCUUAGUGGCAAACGGGUGAGUAACACGUAGGCAACCUGCCGACAGGAUGGGGACAACAUUCCGAAAGGAAUGCUAAUACCGAAUGAAGUCAGAGAAGGGCAUCCUUUUCUGAUGAAAGAUGGCCUCUGAAUAUGCUAUCACCUGUCGAUGGGCCUGCGUCUGAUUAGCUGGUAGGUGAGGUAACGGCUCACCUAGGCGACGAUCAGUAGCCGGUCUGAGAGGAUGAACGGCCACAUUGGGACUGAGACACGGCCCAGACUCCUACGGGAGGCAGCAGUGGGGAAUCUUCCGCAAUGGGCGCAAGCCUGACGGAGCAACGCCGCGUGAGUGAAGAAGGUCUUCGGAUCGUAAAGCUCUGUUGAUGGGGACGAACGUGCCUAAUGCGAAUAGUUUUAGGCA